rnacentral:lncRNA from 10 species
CAUAUGCACACACAACUAAAACAUACCAACCGGCAAUGUGUGAGUCCUUUUGGAGCUGGGACUCAAUCCACAACAGAGACAGCUCAAGCAGGGCCCUGCCAUGGUCCACACUGAGGUUUCCUCUGCAGUGGUGCUGUCCACUGAGGGGUUAUGGUGUGAGGGCCCCUGGGAGCCACGCCUUGGACUUCUGAGUCUGCAGAGCACUCGGCUCCAGCCAGCUGGAUGGCAGGUGGUCAGUGGAGCUGGUGACUGGUGGUUUCUGCAAUGAGGUGUCAGAUUAGCCUAAGGGAAGCCUCUUCAGCAAGUAUCAUGCCUGGAUCCCGGUCUUGGUUGUUUUAUGAGAGGCCGAUAUGAAUUGCCAUUGCCUCCCACAAACAGUUCAGCUUCAAGGUAGAAGAGAAAUGGAUGAAACCAGCUCCAUGAACAAGGUCACCCCGCCAAUAUCACGAGAAAAUGACAUCACUGUCAGCUUCCGCUCAGGAAAAACCUGGGACUUGAAUAACCAAGGGAAAGGGCAGGUCAUCCUCAUGGCAGGUUGACAGAGCUGGUUACAGACCUCCCUGCCAGAUAUCAGGGCCUGGGAGUGUGGCUAAAAAUGACCCAGGGACCACACCUGCCUCUGGUCAGUUGCCCCCGGCAGCCUUACCACCCUCGUAUGCUCAGAACAACGGAAUAUCACCAAUGGGGUGUUUUAUUUCCUCUUUCCUAGAAGAAAGGUUACCAACUGCCAGAAUCAAAAUAGAACAUGAACCGUGUCACUGGAAUCCUGUCCAAUCCAAGCACACUGAUAUUGUGCAAUGCCCUUUGGGAGAUAAAGCAGAUAAGCAAAAUCUCCAAGCUAUUAUCACACCAUUGGACCUGGCAUUGCAGAAGGCCUCUAGCCGGCCUCUUCUAGGCUUGUCAUGUUUCUGCAACACUGUGUCGAGUGCUUUUUGUGCUCUAGAAGAACACUAUUUCAUAGAUGAAACCAGGCGCAAAGCCUCACAGAAAGAAUUAUUUUGUUAAAGUGAAUAGUUGUCCCCAACUUUUUCCAUUUCCCAAGCUCAUAGUUUUAUACAUUCUUUCUUUUUUUAAGGCUUGGCUUAAAUUCUUUAUUAUUAUUAUUAUUAUUAUUAUUAUUAUUAUUAUUAUUUUGAGAUGAAGUCUCCCUCAUAUCCCCAGGCUGGAGUGCAAUGGCGCAAUCUCGGCUCACUGCUGCAACCUCCGCCUCCUGGGUUCAAGCCGUUCUCCUGUCUCAGCCUCCCAAGUAGCUGAGAUUACAGGCACCUGCCAUCACACCCGGCUAAUUUUUGUUUUUUGGGGGUUUUUUUGGGGUUUUUUUUUGUUUGUUUUUUUGAGACAGAGUCUCACUCUCUCGCCCAGGCUGGAGUGCAGUGGCCUAAUCUUGGCU